AGCGUAAAGAUGCUGAGAAGGAAGACACUAGGAAAAAAUCAGUAAGUUCGAGUGAUGAAAGCUCCCCUCACGCCACAACAAUAUAUUAACGGGAUAAAGUCUGUGGGCCCCAGCCCCCGCCCCCAACAAGGCAAAGUCGCACCAGCCUGUGAUGGGACAAUGGGGCGCCAAGAUCUCACCACCAGGAAGAAAGGAAUCGUGGAGGUAGUGAGUUCGGGGCAACUUUUCAGUGAAGAAACCUGACAAACACUAACUCAGUAUUCCAGGUGGAGACCUGACAAGCUCCCAGGUGAUGCUGAGACUGCUGGCUUGUGGAUCUCCUCUUGAGCAUCAAGGGUCUAAGCAAAAGAUCAACAACUUUUUUCUCUAAAGGGCCAGAUAUAUAUUGUAAGCUUUGUGAAAUGUAUGUCUCUGCUGCAACUGCUCAACUCUGCCAUUCUAGAACGAACACAGUCAUAGCCAAUAUGCAAACAAACGGGUAUGGUUGUAUUCCAAUAAAACCACAUUUACAGAACAGGGGGCCGACCAGAGUUGACCUGUGAGCUGUAGUUUUCUUCCUCCUGGUUUAAUAAUAUAUGUAAAAUCAGUAUGUCAUUCUUGUAAUUGACAUUCAUGAGCUUAUCUCCUGAGCGCCCAAUAAUGCCCUGAGGCAGUAUAUGGUAAUUUCCCCUACCUGCAGACCCACCUCCCCCUACCCACAACCUAUAUGGUUCCAGGAACAGAGCACCCACUGCCAAGUUCCCACAACAGGACUCAGACCCCAGCUCCAGCUGACUGGCUCCCAAGGAGCAUGAUUUACAACACAUUCAUAGACAUUUAUAGCACAUUCAUAGACUCAUAGACUUUCCUCAAGAUUCUGGAAUUGAGUCUAGGAGAUUCCUGCCUCACUCUGUCUGUCCUUUUAAAUGGGGGAUAUAUAAAUGUGGAGGUGAGGCUUAAUUUUUUACCCAGUGGAUUGGGAUGCAGAGAAAAUUACUAAUGAGAAAGAAUGAAGGAGAUACACAGAGAGAUACCAGGGUGAGAGCUGGUAAGAGCCUUCCUAGGUGCUCUAGAGCGCUGCAGUCCCUGGCUCCAGGCCAUUUCUGCUACUUCCUGGCCCUGGGGUGUCAUGAGAUGAUCCUUACAUAAAUUCAUUUUUUUAUUUUGCUUAAAUCUAGUAUACUUCUGUUACAUGUAAACCACAGUCCUAACAGCAUUAGCAAAUAAUAAGAGAGUACUUCAGUAGAAUUCCAAUUUGGUAGGAUUUUUUUUAAAAAAAUCAAUUUAUAGAUCACUGCAGGAGCACAUAUUUUCAUUUGAAACUGGAUCUCCCAGAGUAUGUGAAAUUUCAUAAAUAUUAAAUUACAUUUGUAUCUAAUAAUCUACAUAGUAACAAAUCAUUUUGUCAGUUCUAUAGUAACUCCUAGCCCCUUACUUUAGUAAGGGUUCAGUGGCAGAGGAAAAAAAAACAACUACUGGUUUGUACAAAAAGGGAUUUAUUGCAAGGUAUUAAAUGACUUACAAUAUUAGUAGAUAGGCUGAAGAAACUGGCUUGUAAAGGAAGCUCCUGCUCUCUCCAAGAACAGAAAACGUCCAGUAGCCACUAGCUCUGAAAUCAUGCACCUCUUCCACUUCAGGAAGCUACCUGCCAAAUUAGGGAACCAUCAUCUGCACUUCCAGGUCCAGGCCAAACUGCUCUAUGACCACUGGGACCAGAAAGAGAGAUGCCUCAAAUUCUCCUUCUCUCUUUCCCUGCUUAACUCAGUUUAUUUUCAGGUUCUAUGUGAAUGCAUUUGAUUGAAGGGAACUAAAAGUCUCAUUCAGAACCCUGGUGGCAAAGGAGAGGAGUCUGGGAAAUGUAGUUUAAGCUUUUCCAUCUCUGCAUUGCAGAAAGACACACUAUAAUGUGACUGGAGCAGAUGUUGAGUGAGCCACUCCACAGAAUAAGCCACACCCCUAAUGCACCACACAGUUGUAAAACAAAAAUUAUAUUUUUGUGGAGAAAAUGUAAACAUGAGCAAACAAGCAAUAACACAGUAGUUCACUGUACUUGUCAGACGGAUGCUACAUAAUUCAGACUUGUCCUGUUUCUGCCAGACAGCGUUUGUUACAUAUUCAUUCCUACUUAGGCAACUGGAAUAGCAUUUAACAUCUGAAUGAUUAUGAUGAGUAAAGAGAUUUAUUCACUCAUUCAUUCACUCAACAAAUACUUUUUUGGGUGCCUGCAGUGUUUGUGCCAGGCAUUACUUCUGUGCUGGGCUCUACAGGAAAUAGUGGAUGUUAAAUUUUACCAGGUCAACACUCCCUAUGAAAAUUCUCUCUUUAUCCUGAGACUGAAAGGAGUCACAGGGUCUGUUGACAAAGGCAAAUACUAAGCAGUUGCAGUGGUUGAUAACCCUUAAAUAUUUGGCUUUUUGGCAGGGCGAGGUGGCUCAUGCCUGUAAUCCUAGCACUCUGGGAGGCCCAGGCAGGUGGAUCACUCAAGGUCAGGA